rnacentral:rRNA from 1 species
CGAACGCUGGCUCCGUGCCUAACACAUGCAAGUCGAGCGGUAACAGGUGUAGCAAUACAUGCUGACGAGCGGCGAACGGGUGAGCAAUGCUUCGGAAUCUACCCUCUGGUGGGGAAUAACCAGCCGAAAGGUUGGCUAAUACCGCAUACGACCCACGGGUGAAAGCAGGGGAUCGCAAGACCUUGCGCCGAUGGAUGAGCCGAAGUCGGAUUAGCUAGUUGGUAGGGUAACGGCCUACCAAGGCGACGAUCCGUAGCUGGUCUGAGAGGACGACCAGCCACACUGGGACUGAGACACGGCCCAGACUCCUACGGGAGGCAGCAGUGGG